AAGCAGGGGAUCGUAAGGCCUUGCGCUUUUGGAGCGGCCGAUGUCUGAUUAGCUAGUUGGUGGGGUAAAAGCCUACCAAGGCAACGAUCAGUAGUUGGUCUGAGAGGACGACCAGCCACACUGGGACUGAGACACGGCCCAGACUCCUACGGGAGGCAGCAGUGGGGAAUUUUGGACAAUGGGCGAAAGCCUGAUCCAGCAAUGCCGCGUGAGUGAAGAAGGCCUUCGGGUUGUAAAGCUCUUUCAGUCGAGAAGAAAAGGUUGUGAUGAAUAAUCACAACUCAUGACGGUAUCGACAGAAGAAGCACCGGCUAACUACGUGCCAGCAGCCGCGGUAAUACGUAGGGUGCAAGCGUUAAUCGGAAUUACUGGGCGUAAAGGGUGCGCAGGCGGCUUUGUAAGUCAGAUGUGAAAUCCCCGGGCUUAACCUGGGAAUUGCGUUUGAAACUACAAGGCUAGA
rnacentral:rRNA from 1 species